AAAAAAAAAAAAACAAAGAAGCAUUAAGGGUUUCAUUGAAAAGAUUUUAUUUUUGUGACUGUGUUCUUUUGCUUUGUUUUGUUGCUUCGAAUUACAUUUCCAAAAUUUUCCUAGAAGAAUUAAUUGAAAGGGAUAUGAUUGGAAAAUGCUGUAUUCACAUUUAUAUGGUCUAUAAAAGCUUGCUAAUAAUAGGAAGCUCACAGCAAGAAACAAUAAGACUUUUUUUUCAGAUUUAGUUCUCAAUAAUUAAAAUGGGAGUAUUAGAUAACAGUGAUUAUGAAGAGAGACUCUUCUUGUCAUAUCCCAGGGCACAUACUUCCUGUGAGGGUAAAGUAAACCGGAUGAAACGCAUUCAAGACAGCCACUGUCACUUGGUAUCCGGACAUGCAAAAUGGAACUAAUACAAAUCGGACUGGAGCUGGUAAACAGGGGUGAUGACAUUGUAAUUGGAGUCAUCCUCUGAUGACAAAAAUAUACAAAGGGCCUUAAGUGUAGAGAAGGAAUUGAGAAAAAGAAAAAAAAAAGAGUAACUCUAAAGAUGACUUGAUUGAUGUUUUAAACAGAGAGUGAAAAUCAGCAGCCAGAAUAGUAUUUGUUUUUAUAGAGUGAGGAAGCAGGAGUCUGGAACAGUGGUUUAGAAAGAUGAUUGUGAACUCCAGAGAACAACUAGCUUGUUUUUGCUUGGAAGCAUCAAAUAAGAUUUCUUGAACUUAACAGACUGAUUUUCACAAUGUGUGAAAGUUUGAAUGAGACUUCUCAAUAUAGGUUCAUAUAAUCAAAUGUGUAAUCCUCAGUUGGUGAACUGUUUGAGAAGGAUUAGGAGUUUGGGAUACGGUUGUUGGAGUAUUUAUGGCUUGGUUGUAGGAGGUGUGCCACUGGAGGUGGGCUUUGAGGUUUCAAAAAAACACAUGUCAAGCCUGGUUGUUUCAUCUGCUUGUUUUCUGCAGAUCAGGGUAUAAAUCAGCUACUUCUUCCAACACCAUGCCAGGCUGCUUCCUACGAGGAUAGUCAUGGACUAACCCUCUAAAACUGUAAUGAAGCCCCCAAUUUAAUGCUUUCCUUUUAUGCUUUGGUCAUUCAUGGUAUAUUCUCAGAGAAGUAGAAUAGUAUCUAUAACCUAGUACUUGGAACUCUUAUGAUCUACAAUAACUCUAACUGUAAUGCAUUGAAAAUACAUUCACUCAUUGAAUUGUAUUUUAGUAACAAAUUACUGCUAACUCAAAGCCAUUCAAGUUCCAAUAAGACCAUAUAUGUGAUCAUCUCCAGACAUUUUACAUAGCAUAACACUUUGAUGUGUGAGACAGUAGCCAUGGCCUAUCAUCUAGAAAAAGAUUUUGAAUUUAUGACCCACUGAUGUUCAAGCAGAAUCAUCUAUCUGUAUGGCCAUGGGUUUUGAAUUAUUCACUUGGAAGAGCUCAGAGGCUUACUGCUUGUCAAAGAGUCUAAGAGAAUGACUGUCCCUCCUCCAUAAUCUAUCAAUUGCCAAUUGCUCAGCAAAAAAGGUAAGGCGAUAUGAGCUCGUCCCCUACCCAUGACUGGGUGUCGACAGGCCUUGUCUUGUUCAGACAUAGUACAGGCAAAUGCAGCUCCUGUGGGCUUGUGUUUGCAAUGGUACAUCAUGUCCUGAUGGUAGCAUUUUGUACCUUCUUUAUCUCCUGUCUCUUUCAUUCUUUCCUCUCAGUCCUUCUGUAGUAUUCCCUGGGACUUGGAUGGUGUGGUAGAAAUGUCAUGUUUAGGGUUGAGUGCUCACGUAUUGGAAGUACUUUGAGCAUCAGUGAGUCUCUUCCUCACGGGCAGGAGGGAGGGAUGACUACUGUGUGAGGGAGCUGAGAGAUGGAUAGUGAUAGUAAUCAGAGCAUGUAACACUGCCUAAAACCAAAUUUAAUCAAUAAAACAGAAAAGGGAUGUGCGAACAAGAAUGAACGUGGACACAUAGUAGCUCUCUAUUAAAAUUGUAGGUAGUUGUUCAUGAGUAAGGGCUUAGAAUUCAUUUCUUGGGGAAAAAAUCACUGUAGUACUGGUAGUUCUGUCACUAUCUUGAGAUAUGAAAUUAGUAAUGGUACUUGAAUUUCUGAGCCUCACUUGUUGGAAAAAUACGAAGACAUUAUUGCGGUUGACAUCAUGACUAAUCCUUUAUCAACAAACACAACUGUUACUAUGAAAAUAUGAUAUUGCUACCAUUAUUGUUAUUUUAGGGUUGUUGGGUGGAAUGAGGUAGAAAAAGUAUGUGCAACUGCUUAACACUUUCCCUGUUCCUUUCUACAUAUUAUGUAUGGAGUGUGAUUGCUUAGGUGGUGGGCUGGUUGGUGUCCUGACUGACUGACUAUCCCAGAAGUUUUGUCAAAGCAGUGAUUUGAGGUUAAGAUCAGGAAAAAGUUCCUGUGAAUAAAAAAAGAAAAAAGAGAAAAGAAAAAAGAACUGCCUGUUCUUCUAUGGGCUUAUUGUACAAGCCAGCAUUAAUAGCUUCCCCAUUAUGCCUGGUUUGCUUUUAUGUACUAAGAACAGAAUGCACUGCCACUCCAGACACUGAACUCAGUCUCUCUGGGUGAUUCUAAUGGUUCCUACUGCCACUGGUCUUCACUAUUGGUUUUGAUUUCAAAGUAUUUUUUAGCAGCUUGCCCAAUGCUAUUAACUUGGGACAGGAAGAGGGUGCACGCUCACCUUCUGUGUAUACAGAUUAUAUAUGUGUCUGACAGAAAUAUGAUAAUAUUAGAUGGAAGGAUAUAAGCAUGGAGAAAUGGACUUUAGGUCAUUGCAUAACCUAAUGCAGUAAUGACUUCUUAAGUUAUUUUUGGAACAAGUGAGGGGAAAACAAAAAAAUGGAGAAUAUGCAAUACUCACAAUUAAAAUAUUGUAUAUAUGUAAGAGUGGGCCAUUGUAUAUUAUCCAAUAACAAAAGAAGCCAUCCUUUGUUGAGAGUUUGGGGACUAGAUUUUUAAGUGUUCCAAUUUCCAGACAUGGUCCCAUAUACCUUGUUGAUUCUAUUUUCUGUGAUUCUCACAUGGACCCCACUUUUACUACAAUGGAAAUUGAGGCUUACAUUGAGUUGCAGUGGCUUGACAGACAAGCAAGUUCUUAUCCUACUUAGAGAGUCAGUAAGAGUUAGUCAGUGACAGAUUCAGUAUUUAAACUAGACCUAUCUGGUUUCAAAAUAAAUUCAUCAUGCUAUAUUGUGUUUAUACAACUCUUACACUUAUGUUGACUGAGCAAGGUUCUAGGCAAAGGUCCUUUC
rnacentral:lncRNA from 1 species